GCUGCGAUGAAACUGGAACUCACCAUCACGGCCCAAGGCGAUGGAAGGCUGCCACUGUUCGGGUUGAAGCUCAGACGUCUGCUGCACUCUAAACCAAUAUUCUUGCGGAGAUGGGGACCGAUACCAUCGAAGAAUCGAGCACUCAACCAGCAAGCAACUGUGUUUCUUCUCCAUGGGACACAAAGAGUUGGAAGAACUUAAAAUCUCGCACAACAUCGCCGUAACGUCUACCAAGGAUACCACCGAUGAUGAGGAUUGAAACUAUAAGCUAUGAGGGACUCAUGGAGUUGUACAUGGGAGGUUGAUGAUUGUUCUGUAUAGUAGCGAAGAAAAAAGAAUGUGAUAUCUUAUUCCUCAAAGGUUUGAAGCUGGCAAGUGAACCCAGUUGGCCUUGAGUUGGACCCCCACCUACUAACAUAACUUCAACCAAACCCAAAACUUCAAAGAUCACUCUUAACCGAUGUGGGAUCUCACAAUCCUCUUCU